GUUAGCUUCAACGCGAAUCUGUGGGAAGAUGCCCGAGAACACCCAAACUAGCCUGUCAUGGAGGUGAGCAGCUAAGCAGACUUUCGAGGCUGUCACUGACUGCUGAAGGGAGGCUAGGCGAGGCCACUGAGGGAUUUGGUAGAAACACCGUAGCAGCCAGGGUCAACCGCAUUCUGAAAGCAGAAGCUCCUCCUGGUGACGUAGCGUCAGAAGGUCAAUAGUCGCCUAAUGUUACGUCACACGCCUGCGUCACUCACUUCUCUUCCUGUCGUCAGGUUGGCGUUUCUCACCUCAGCGGCGAAAGGAAGGGUGA
rnacentral:lncRNA from 1 species